UAUGGUCAUAACACAUUGAAGCACCGACUCUCAUGUGAUCACCGAAAUUAAGCAAUAUCAAGCCUGGUCAGUACCUAGAUGGGUGACUGCUUGGGAAUAUGUU